UCAAGUCAGGGGUGAAAUCCCGGGGCUCAACCUCGGAACUGCCCUUGAAACUGGAUGGCUGGAAUCUUGGAGAGGUCAGUGGAAUUCCGAGUGUAGAGGUGAAAUUCGUAGAUAUUCGGAAGAACACCAGUGGCGAAGGCGACUGACUGGACAAGUAUUGACGCUGAGGUGCGAAAGCGUGGGGAGCAAACAG
rnacentral:rRNA from 1 species